CAAGUUCUAGAAAUGAGCCUCUGCGUGCUGAUGUUUGACGUUUCAUCAGAACAGAUGUUUGGAUUGUAAAAGGCUCAUCUGUUGUCUUUCAUCGUGUUUCAGUGCACACAGAGGACACCUACUAUUCUGAGGUCCAGGAAACAUACAGUGUCGUCUCAAAGUUCAACGUCGGUGAGAGACAUGAACCACACAAGGCCGACUGUAACAGGAAGCAGGCGUCUCGCUCUGUGUGGGGGCUGACCCCAUGUCCUCCCUGUCCCACACAUGCAUGGACUCCUGACUGAAGAAGGACACUGAGAAGGUUCCUUCGACACACGCAGCUGUUCCAUUGAAGCAUUUUGUAAAACGUCCACUAAACUGUUUUUAAACCGUUGCAUCUCCAAUC